CCUACGGGAGGCAGCAGUGAGGAAUAUUGGUCAAUGGACGAGAGUCUGACCCAGCCAAGUCGCGUGAAGGAUGACUGCCCUAUGGGUUGUAAACUUCUUUUAUAAAGGAAUAAAACGAGGCACGUGUGCCUUUUUGCAUGUACUUUAUGAAUAAGGAUCGGCUAACUCCGUGCCAGCAGCCGCGGUAAUACGGAGGAUCCGAGCGUUAUCCGGAUUUAUUGGGUUUAAAGGGAGCGUAGAUGGGUUGUUAAGUCAGUUGUGAAAGUUUGCGGCUCAACCGUAAAAUUGCAAUUGAUACUGGCAGUCUUGAGUACAGUUGAGGUAGGCGGAAUUCGUGGUGUAGCGGUGAAAUGCUUAGAUAUCACGAAGAACCCCGAUUGCGAAGGCAGCUUACUAAACUGUGACUGACAUUGAUGCUCGAAAGUGUGGGUAUCAAACAGGAUUAGAUACCCGUGUAGUC
rnacentral:rRNA from 1 species